GGGGCUGAUUGGGGUGCUGGUGCCCUCCACGGUCUUCAAAACCGCUUGUGACCACCGUGUGUGGUCAGCUGGGUUCGAUUCCCAGGCGGUCCC
rnacentral:tRNA from 1 species